rnacentral:rRNA from 1 species
CCUACGGGGGGCAGCAGUGGGGAAUAUUGGACAAUGGGCGAAAGCCUGAUCCAGCCAUGCCGCGUGUGUGAAGAAGGCCUUCGGGUUGUAAAGCACUUUCAGUGGGGAAGAAAGCCUUGGGGCUAAUACCCUCGAGGAAGGACAUCACCCACAGAAGAAGCACCGGCUAACUCCGUGCCAGCAGCCGCGGUAAUACGGAGGGUGCGAGCGUUAAUGGAAUUACUGGGCGUAAAGCGCGCGUAGGCGGUCUGAUAAGCCGGUUGUGAAAGCCCCGGGCUCAACCUGGGAACGGCAUCCGGAACUGUCAGGCUAGAGUGCGGGAGAGGAAGGUAGAAUUCCCGGUGUAGCGGUGAAAUGCGUAGAGAUCGGGAGGAAUACCAGUGGCGAAGGCGGCCUUCUGGACUGACACUGACGCUGAGGUGCGAAAGCGUGGGUAGCAAACAGGAUUAGAUACCCCUGUAGUC